rnacentral:lncRNA from 1 species
GUUGCCCAACUCCAGUCGCCGUCGCCCCUUUCUACUCUCGAUUCCUCACGAGGUUCGAUCAAUCCUUCCCUUUUCGCCUCUUUUGGUUGUUCUGUGCUUGUUCUAUGUUUGUGCUCUGCAAAUUUACGGUUGGUGUUUGUGCUGCAAGUUCUCAGGUAGAUUUCGCUCGGGCGAGAGCGAGAAGCGAGAAGCCCGCGUUCUUGGGGCAACUUUCAGCUAUGACAGGUUUCGCCGCCGAGGCCACUAGGGUAAGAAGCCCGCGUUUUGAAUGAGAAACAUGGGAUGGAUUGAAGGGGUUUGCAUUUCCAUUUGUUAUGAGGAAAGUGAAGAAUGGCUAUUUGGACUGCAUUUUGUUGCUCUGCAAAUUGCAAGUAUGGCUUGUGGAACUUCCCAUGGGCAUUCAUGUACUGUUACUGGUGCAAGGCACUUGGGAUUUUAUGAACGGCAUAAUAAAUGGUGAUUGACUAGGUUUUCUUAUUGGAACUAUUUUAAAUAGCAUAGAAAACUUUCUCCAUGUUCUGGUUGUGGAUUUUUGUGUGUAUGUUGUGCAGGCAAGGCAAGUGUUGGUUGAUUUUCAUUGGACUAUGAGAUAUUUAAGGACACCUCAGUGACCUUUGUUAUGUUUAUCCGUUGUCUAUGCUUGUGUUAUUGCAGAUAUGGGAUGGAUUGAAGGGGUUUGCAUUUCCAUUUGUUUGUUCCUCUUGGAUCCCCGGUUGACAUUGCUUAGUAGAAGUCUUAUGUAUUGUAUCAAUUUCUUGCUGGUGCAAACUCUAAAGCCAGGAGUGACUUGCUUUUGGAUUCAAAUGCAGAUGGAAAUUAUUCCUGCGUAGAGUUGAAACAUGCUAACAAGAUCAUCGGCACCACUGCAGAGGAGGUUGUUAUGAAGGCCAAGGAGGGUGCUGGCAUCCCUUGACAUGUUCCCGGAAUGUAAAAAUAGUGCCCUUUUUUUUUGUUAAUUUUUGUUUCUUUUUGGCCAGUUAUAUAUAUUUUUGUUAAUAGCGGCAGACCUAGGAAGUUUGUUGGCACCUUCGCUUGUAUC